rnacentral:rRNA from 1 species
UGAAUACGAGACGCUAAGGCGUCGAAGUAGUGUAUGUCAUACUUCCAAGAAAAGCUUGCACUGUCAUAAGUAAAAAAUGCCUGUACCAUAACCGACACAGGUGGGUAGGUAGAGUAUACUAAGGGGCGCGAGAUAACUCUCUCUAAGGAACUCGGCAAAAUAACUCCGUAACUUCGGGAGAAGGAGUACCUUAUUCUAUAAGGUUGCAAUAACAAGAUCCAAGCAACUGUUUAUCAAAAACACAGGUCUCCGCUAAGUCGUAAGACGAUGUAUGGGGGCUGACGCCUGCCCAGUGCCAGAAGGUUAAAGAAGUCGGUUAGCAUUAGCGAAGCUGGUAACUGAAGCCCUGGUGAACGGCGGCCGUAACAAUAACGGUCCUAAGGUAGCGAAAUUCCUUGUCGGGUAAGUUCCGACCCGCACGAAAGGCGUAAUGAUUUGGAUACUGUCUCGGAGAGGGGCUCGGUGAAAUAGACUUGUCUGUGAAGAUGCGGACUACCUGCACCAGGACAGAAAGACCCUAUGAAGCUUUACUGUAACUUGAAAUUGAAAUUGGACUUUAUUCGCGCAGUAUAGGUGGGAGGUGUUGAUUAUAAUCUUGCGGGAUUAUUGGAGCCAUCAGUGAGAUACCACUCUUGUAAUGUUAGAUUUCUAACUUUGAAUCAUUAUCUGGUCAAAGGACAGUUUCAGGCGGGCAGUUUGACUGGGGCGGUCGCCUCCCAAACGGUAACGGAGGCGUACAAAGGUUUCCUCUGAACGGGUAGAAAUCGUAUCUAGAGUGUAAAGGCAUAAGGAAGCUUGACUGUGAGACCUACAAGUCGAACAGGGACGAAAGUCGGUCUUAGUGAUCUGACGGUACUGAGUGGAAAGGCCGUCACUCAACGGAUAAAAGUUACUCUAGGAUAACAGGCUGAUCUCCCCCAAGAGUUCACAUCGACGGGGAGGUUUGGCACCUUGAUGUCGGCUCAUCGCAUCCUGGGGCGGUAGUACGUCCCAAGGGUUGGGCUGUUCGCCCAUGAAAGCGGUACGCGAGCUGGGUUCAGAACGUCGUGAGACAGUUCGGUCCAUAUCCGGUGUAGGCGUUAGAAUAUUGAGAGGAGCCUUCUUUAGUACGAGAGGACCGAGAAGGACAUACCUCUGGUGUACCAGUUAUCGUGCCAACGGUAAACGCUGGGUAGCUAUGUAUGGAGUGGAUAACCGCUGAAAGCAUCUAAGUGGGAAGCCCGCCUCAAGAUAAG